GGGAGGGGCAGAGAGCGAAGGGGACACAGAAUCUGAAGCAGGCUCCACUCGCUCAGCACAGAUCCCGACGUGAGGCUCAAACCCACGAACCAUCAGAUCGUGACCUGAGCCAAAGUUGGACGCCCAACCGAGCCACCCAGGCGCUCCUGCAAGUAUGUAUUUUCUUGAUUGAGGGUAUGCUCCAGGGAUCCUUCGAGCUCUGCUACCUGUGCUGUUUUGAGCCCUGGUUCGGUUAAUCUGCAGUCCCAGGAGGAGAAGGACACUAAGGGCAAAACCCAAAGGCAUUGCUGAGGUUGAGCUUAAAAGGCAUUUUUUUCUAGUUACUUAACAUGUCCACACUGAGGAUGGGGCAGAGGUGGGGGUUGGGUAGGGGCUCAAAGCAGAUUCUCCUCUAAUUUAAUUAUGAAAUGGCAAAUGCCUCCCUUUAUGGUCUCAUAUUUUUCAGGUGCCUCCCGGCCUUCUGGUUUUGCCACAGCUGUGAUUGGAAAGGAUUGCUCAUACUUAUGGCUCAAAUGGACCCAAGUUCUCCUAAUAUGGAAGACCAAUCUUCCCCAUCUUCUGUGGUUUAUGCUGUGUUUUACGUCAUAGCUAACUGCUGAAAUUGUUGAUAAAUAACCUUAAUCUUUAAUACUUUAUUCCAUUUUGCAGGGAGAAUCAAAAUCAGAUGGCAGUGCUUCUAAAACCUUGUCAGCUGUAAUGGUAUGAUCUCGGAUACUCUCCUGCAUUUCUUGUGCCAUAAACUUAGGUGUGUGCAACAAGAGUCCUUGGAGUCCAUGCUGAUAGCACCCACUAUGAAAAGUGUUCAAUACCAUUAUAGGCACCGCCUUUCAUGCUCUGGACCAGCAAAUAAGCAAGACCUGUGUACUGCCUGUUGUAAAAGUUGGGAUAACACCAAAUCUGGUUGAAUCACUGCCUUCAUUUUUAUUUCUCAACAUAAAUAUUUUUUAUAUGAAUGAACCAACAUUUUUUUCACUGGGUACAAAGGACUAUUUUUUAAUCCCCUUUUUAAAGGGGUAGGAGAGGGUUUAAUGCAUAUAGACAGCAGUAAUAGGAACGUGGGCUUUGCACAUUGCAGACUCACUGACCUUUUAG
rnacentral:lncRNA from 1 species